rnacentral:rRNA from 1 species
CGCGUAGGCGGAUUUUCUAGUCAGGCGUGAAAGCCCCGGGCUCAACCCGGGAACUGCGUUUGAUACUGGAAGUCUAGAGUUCUGGAGAGGGUGGUGGAAUUCCCAGUGUAGAGGUGAAAUUCGUAGAUAUUGGGAAGAACACCGGUGGCGAAGGCGGCCACCUGGCCAGACACUGACGCUAAGGCGCGAAAGCGUGGGGAGCGAACAGGAUUAGAUACCCUGGUAGUCC